GACGAACGCUGGCGGCGUGCUUAACACAUGCAAGUCGAACGGAAAGGCCCUGCUUUUGUGGGGUGCUCGAGUGGCGAACGGGCGAGUAACACGUGAGUAACCUGCCCUUGACUUUGGGAUAACUUCAGGAAACUGGGGCUAAUACCGGAUAGGAGCUCCUGCUGCAUGGUGGGGGUUGGAAAGUUUCGGCGGUUGGGGAUGGACUCGCGGCUUAUCAGCUGGUUGGUGGGGUAGUGGCUUACCAAGGCUUUGACGGGUAGCCGGCCUGAGAGGGUGACCGGCCACAUUGGGACUGAGAUACGGCCCAGACUCCUACGGGAGGCAGCAGUGGGGAAUAUUGCACAAUGGGCGGAAGCCUGAUGCAGCAACGCCGCGUGCGGGAUGACGGCCUUCGGGUUGUAAACCGCUUUCGCCUGUGACGAAGCGUGAGUGACGGUAAUGGGUAAAGAAGCACCGGCUAACUACGUG
rnacentral:rRNA from 1 species